CUUUUUAAACGGGAGAAGUCCCCGGAGACUUUUACGUCUCCUGCCGCGUUUGCACCGCGGCGGUGCCGGGGGCUGAUAGGGGGACACUCGG
rnacentral:tRNA from 1 species